rnacentral:rRNA from 1 species
UAGGGAAUCUUCGGCAAUGGGGGCAACCCUGACCGAGCAACGCCGCGUGAGUGAAGAAGGUUUUCGGAUCGUAAAGCUCUGUUGUAAGAGAAAAACGUGUGUGAGAGUGGAAAGUUCACACAGUGACGGUAACUUACCAGAAAGGGACGGCUAACUACGUGCCA